rnacentral:rRNA from 1 species
GACGAACGCUGGCGGCGUGCUUAACACAUGCAAGUCGAACGGAAAGGCCCUGCUUGCAGGGUACUCGAGUGGCGAACGGGUGAGUAACACGUGGGUGAUCUGCCCUGCACUUCGGGAUAAGCCUGGGAAACUGGGUCUAAUACCGGAUAGGAGCCAUUUUUAGUGUGAUGGUUGGAAAGUUUUUUCGGUGUAGGAUGAGCUCGCGGCCUAUCAGCUUGUUGGUGGGGUAAUGGCCUACCAAGGCGGCGACGGGUAGCCGGCCUGAGAGGGUGGACGGCCACAUUGGGACUGAGAUACGGCCCAGACUCCUACGGGAGGCAGCAGUGGGGAAUAUUGCACAAUUGGCGCAAGCCUGAUGCAGCGACGCCGCGUGGGGGAUGACGGCCUUCGGGUUGUAAACUCCUUUCGCUAGGGACGAAGCUUUUUGUGACGGUACCUAGAGAAGAAGCACCGGCUAACUACGUG